rnacentral:lncRNA from 1 species
GGGACUACAGGCGCCCGCCAUCACGCCCGGCUGCUUUUUUUGUUUUAGUAGAGAGGAGGUUUCACCGUGUUAGCCAGGAUGGUCUCAAUCUCCUGACCUCGUGAUCCGCCCGCCUCGGCCUCUCAAAGUGCUGGGAUUACACGCGUGAGCCACCGCGCCUGGCCUGAAGAAAGAAGUCAUUAAAGAAGCAACCCAUGGCAAAACUAGUUAUUUUCUUAAAACAGUAGGAAGAAGAAAAGCUUUUUGAAUGAAUCACUUCUCAUCUUCUCCGAAGUUGGAAGCAUCAAGAAUCUAAAUAAGCAUUUAUGAUGGCUGGCAUGAAUAUACAGGUGAAGACAGAACAAGAAAACAAACCAAGAAUUUCCCCUCACCAGCCACCAGCUCUGCCAGCAACUUGAUCUUAGACUUCCCAGCCUCCGUAACGCCUCUGCUUAUAAUCUGUCAUGGAUUGGAAAACUAGAAAAAACAGUUUACAGAGUAUAACAAACUUUGGAGGAGUUAAUCGACUCUAAGUAAAAGAGUAUCUAGCACGGCUGUGGAACAAAGGAGAGACUCACAAACUGUUGAAAGAAUAAAUGAAUGAAUGAAUUCUGUUCAUGAGCUUUAAUAAAACAGCUCUGAGUAGUAACAGUGGAUCAAAUUUAGGCUUCUUGAUGCAGGCAUGGUGUAGAUUACUACUUCUGUAUUGUCCCAGGAGCUCAGCACAUUCCUGCAGAGAUGAUAGGAGCUCAUCUGAUACUUGUCAGCUUUGAAUAAACUCCAGUCCCCAAGAGAGAGAAUGAGAAUCACCGGAAUACGAAACUUCCCUGUUGGACUUCCCAACAUUCUUGAAUGCACCAAGAUAGCCUCUUGCUGUGAGAUUAAUAAAUGAAUAAAUGCCUCCAUAUUUUUCAAAUCUGUGAAGUUAACAACAUGUAGAUUUUUUUGCAUAUUUAAAAACUGCAACUAAAUCUUAAUGCCUCUGAAGCAGAUGGAAGAAAAUAAUAGGCUUCCAUUAACUGUGUCAAAUUGUAUAGGUCUUGGCCAUCACUGGUCCUGUUGUGAUGAAGGUUUUUUGCCCUUGGAUAUAAUUUAAUUUUCAAUUCUUCUAAUUAUGGUACUUCAGAACAUCAAUAUUUGAGAUGAACUUCUCUAGUGUCAAGGACUGAUUUGAGUUGUGUAAACCCUGAAUAUCUGAGACAGGUCUCGAUUAUUUUAGAAAGUUUAUUUUGCCAAGGUUGAGGAUGUGUGCCUGUGACACGGCCUCGGGAGGUCCUGAGGACAUGUGCUCAAGGUGGUCAGAGCACAGCUUUGCUUUAUACAUUUUAGAGAGACAUGAGACAUCAACCGACAUAUGUAAGAUGAACAUUGGUUCCAUCUGGAAAGGCGAGACAACUUCAAACGAGGAGGGGGCUUCCAGGUCAUAGGUAGAUAAGAGACAAAUGGCUGCAUUCUUUUGAGUUUCUGAUUAGCCUUUCCAAAGGAGGCAAUUAGAGUGAGCAAAAUGAACAAAAUCAAUUAUUUUGAUUCUGAACAAAAUGGGAGGCUGGUUUUCCCUAAGCAGUUCCCAGCUUGACUUUUCCCUUUAGCUGAGGGAUUUGGGGGGCCCAAGAUUUAUUUUUCUUUCACCGUUGUAUCAAACUACACAGGCGGCCUUGGAAACCAUCACAGUUGAGAGUAGGUAACGCCCAUUUGUUGCAUAGUUUUGUGCUCCACACUCUUAUCUACAAAAUUAUGAAUUUUUUUACAUAUAUUAAUUUCAGAAAAACUAAAAAUAAAACAAAGUAGUUUCAAACUAGUAUUGUUUUUAUAUCUUAAAAAUAAAGCUUUAUAUACUCUCCUUAC